rnacentral:rRNA from 1 species
UACGUAGGGGGCAAGCGUUGUCCGGAAUUAUUGGGCGUAAAGAGCGCGUAGGCGGUCCGAUAAGUCGGCUGUGAAAGUCAGGGGCUCAACCCUUGAAAGCCGGCCGAUACUGUCGGACUAGAGUCCGGAAGAGGCAAGUGGAAUUCCCGGUGUAGCGGUGAAAUGCGCAGAUAUCGGGAGGAACACCAAUGGCGAAGGCAGCUUGGUGGGACGGUACUGACGCUGAGGCGCGAAAGCGUGGGGAGCAAACAGG